rnacentral:rRNA from 1 species
UACGUAGGGUGCGAGCGUUGUCCGGAAUUAUUGGGCGUAAAGAGCUCGUAGGCGGUUUGUCACGUCUGCUGUGAAAUCCCGAGGCUCAACCUCGGGCCUGCAGUGGGUACGGGCAGACUGGAGUGCGGUAGGGGAGAAUGGAAUUCCUGGUGUAGCGGUGGAAUGCGUAGAGAUCCGGAGGAAGACCGGUGGCGAAGGCGGCCUGCUGGGCAGAUACUGACACUGAGGCGCGACAGCGUGGGGAGCAAACAGG